rnacentral:rRNA from 1 species
AUGAUGAGAAGGAGCUCCUGCUCCACCGGAUCAUGGUGGCAAAUUCCGGCGACGCCCGUAGGUAAUCGCCGCGGGAGGGGAUCGCGGCGGCGCAUGUCUGGGCGGCGGUGGCGGAGCAAGUACUUGGCGACGGUGGCGGCGUUGAAGGUACGUGGCGGCGGAGGCGGAACACUUCCUGGUGGGCGGCAAUCACGCAGCUUGGCGGCGCCGGCCCCUGGAGACGCACGGGCGACGGCAGAGGAAGAAGACAGGGAUGGAGGGACUUGUUUGCGAUUAUUUUGA